UUCGGGUGGAGCGGCGGACGGGUUAGUAACGCGUGGGAAUAUACCCUUCACUAUGGAAUAGCCUCGGGAAACUGAGAGUAAUACCAUAUACGCCCUUCGGGGGAAAGAUUUAUCGGUGAAGGAUUAGCCCGCGUAAGAUUAGAUAGUUGGUGGGGUAAUGGCCUACCAAGUCUACGAUCUUUAGCUGGUUUUAGAGGAUGAUCAGCAACACUGGGACUGAGACACGGCCCAGACUCCUACGGGAGGCAGCAGUGGGGAAUCUUAGACAAUGGGCGAAAGCCUGAUCUGGCCAUGCCGCGUGAGUGAUGAAGGUCUUAGGAUCGUAAAGCUCUUUCGCUAGGGAUGAUAAUGACAGUACCUAGUAAAGAAGCCCCGGCUAACUCCGUGCCAGCAGCCGCGGUAAUACGGAGGGGGCUAGCGUUGUUCGGAAUUACUGGGCGUAAAGCGUACGUAGGCGGAUCAGAAAGUAUGGGGUGAAAUCCCAGGGCUUAACCCUGGAACUGCCUCAUAAACUCCUGGUCUUGAG
rnacentral:rRNA from 1 species